UAGUUGCAAGCAUAGGACGAAAAAGAAAAAGCAUGAGCAAUUACAUAGUCAACGCUGAAGAUGGCUAAAAACACGUUUGUCUUCUUUGCUCACCCCACUAAGCGAAACGAUCAUGGAGCCAUCUGUGACUCUCAGAUUCCGAUCACACACCCUCUCCCUCUUCCCUCACACACCAAUCUCUUCCAUAGACCACCCACACAAUCAUCUUCUCAUACCCAUUUCACCCAAAUUCAGUUCAAACACUACGCUGUCGGUGGCAGCAGCAGCGAAGAAAAAGCCAAGCAUCGAAGGUGUGAGCGAAGAGUUGAACGCCAUGGCCUCUCAGAACCUUGACUUCGCACCCUCCCGGAGACGGGUCCGUGCAGCUUUCACCGAGGUGCACCAGCAGCUCGACCAUUUCUUGUUCAAGACUGCUCCUCCUGGGAUCAGAACCGAAGAAGGGUAUGAAAGGAAUUCCAGGGGAUUGGAAAUUUUCUGCAAAAGCUGGAUGCCUGAAUCGGGCGUCCCACUCAAGGCUGCUUUGUGUUUCUGCCAUGGUUAUGGCAGCACUUGCACUUUCUUCUUUGAAGGUAUUGCCAAAAGAAUAGCUGCUUCUGGGUAUGGUGUUUAUGCUAUGGACUAUCCAGGUUUUGGUCUAUCUGAAGGUUUACAUGGUUACAUACCAAAUUUUGAUGAUUUGGUUGAUGACGUUAUAGAACAUUUUACAAAAAUCAAAGCAAGGCCUGAGGUGAGAGGGUUGCCACGAUUCAUAUUGGGGCAGUCAAUGGGUGGAGCAAUUGCUCUUAAGGUUCAUUUGAAGGAACAAAACACUUGGGAUGGAGUAAUCCUUGUUGCACCAAUGUGUAAAAUCGCAGAGGGCAUGUUGCCACCUACUGCACUUUUAAGGGUAUUAAAUCUUUUGUCUAAGGUGAUGCCAAAGGCAAAACUGUUUCCACACAAAGAUCUAUCUGCGCUGACUUUCCGAGAACCUGGCAAGAGAAAAGUGGUUGAUGCACAGAAACUUGAAUUAUUCCUGAUACCCAUUUUGUGGAUGCCAAUUAACCUGCCAAUUUGUCACAAGUCUUUUCUGCAACAUCUGUGGUUCAAGUGCAUGAAUGAAAGAGCUCUGAAGCAUGACUUAAUCCAUAGCUGGUUACAAUGUUAUUUCUUAUGAUCAUCCAACACGAUUGAAAACUGGCAUGGAGCUUUUAAGUGCUACUCAAGAAAUCGAGUCACAAUUACACAAGGUUUCUGCUCCAUUAUUGAUUCUCCAUGGAGCAGCAGAUCAGGUGACAGAUCCAUUAGUGAGCCAAUUUCUUUAUGAGAAAGCUUCUAGUAAAGAUAAGACACUAAAGAUCUAUGAAGGAAGUUACCACGGCAUUUUGGAAGGGGAACCUGAUGACAGAAUUUUUGCUGUGCACAAUGACAUCAUCUCAUGGCUUGAUUUUAGGUGCUCACUUAAAUGAGGUUCAUGGUAUUGUAUUGUUGACCUCGCCAAGAUAUUUUUGAUCUUAUAGUGAACAAAGAACACCCUUCACAAAAGUUACCUCACAGGAAUGGCACCUCUAUUGCCUCUUAUCAUGGUAGUUACAUGUACAUGUCAAUUUAGCUUUCUACUUUUAUUAUAGGCUCAUUUAUGAGUUUAAUAUUACAAUUCGCUUAUUGGAUUUUCAAACCAGAUGUAAUCCAUUGGCUCCCUUUAUUGUGAGGUCUGACCAGUAAUAAAGUUUCAUUAUCCAAAAAAAUGGUUUUGUUUC